rnacentral:rRNA from 1 species
AUGGCUCAGCAUUUGCUUGUUGCAGCGGACAGGUAUGAUUUGGCGAGGCUGAAGGUGAUUUGUGAAGAUAAACUGAGCAAUCAUAUCGAUAGGGGCUCCGUGGCAGCCAUGGUGACAUUGGCGGAGCGACACCACUGCCAUGGGCUUAAGAAAGCAUGUUUGGUAUUCCUCAGCUCGUCAGCGAAUCUGAAUGCACUCAUAGAGUCUGAAGGCCUUGAGUUUUUAACCAAGCACUGCCCCGGUCUUCUGAAGGAUCUCCUCUUGUCCAAGGUUGUAGCUUUUUGA